AGUUUCAAUACAAUCCUGGUAGAAAAGAGCUCUGUAUGACUGGGUGUAUCACAAGGAGCAAGAAUCAUUUCCUUCUAACAACAUGCUUUCUGUCACCUGCUCAGUUCUUGUGAUCUUUUUAAUGUACAGGAGGACCAGUGGAGACUCAGUGACCCAGACAGAAGGCUUGGUUACUUUCACAGAGGGGGCACCUCUGAUCCUCAACUGUACUUACCAGAGCACUUACUCAAUUGCCUUUAUUUUCUGGUAUGUCCAAUAUCUCAAUAAAGCCCCUGAGCUACUCCUGAAGAGUUCAACACAAAGCCCGAGGUCAGAGAACCGGGGUUUCCAUGCAACUCUUGUUAAGAGUGACAACAGCUUCCACCUGCAGAAAUCUUCACUCCAGCUGUCAGACUCAGCUGUGUACUACUGCGCUCUGGGAGACACAGUGAGAAAUCUCUCAAAAAUGCACAUGAGGAAAAUCCUGGCUUCAUUAAAACAUACCUCAGAAGGAGGAAAAAAGCAACUAAAUAUACUGCUGCAAGGUCUGCAGCAGCGAGGUGCAGUGCUCCACUUGGCACAGCAUGCCACAAGAGACAAGCCUCCUUUAGGCACAGUGAACUGGUCACAGCUGAUCAUCACACAGGACAAACAGGCAGAAGCAAUGCACCCCACACCACUGUAG